CUACGUGCCAGCAGCCGCGGUAAUACGUAUGUCGCAAGCGUUAUCCGGAAUUAUUGGGCUUAAAGGGCAUCUAGGCGGUAUAACAAGUUGAAGGUGAAAAGCUGUAGCUCAACUAUAGUCUUGCCUACAAAACUGUAAUACUAGAGUACUGGAAAGGUGGGUGGAACUACACGAGUAGAGGUGAAAUUCGUAGAUAUGUGUAGGAAUGCCGAUGAUGAAGAUAACUCACUGGACAGAAACUGACGCUGAAGUGCGAAAGCUAGGGGAGCAAACAGGAUUAGAUACCCCGGUAGUCCUGGCCGUAAACGAUGGGUACUAGGUGUAGGAGGUAUCGACCCCUUCUGUGCCGGAGUUAACGCAAUAAGUACCCCGCCUGGGGAGUACGACCGCAAGGUUGAAACUCAAAGGAAUUGACGGGGGCCCGCACAAGCGGUGGAGUAUGUGGUUUAAUUCGACGCAACGCGAAGAACCUUACCAGGUCUUGACAUUGAUGGACAGAACUAGAGAUAG
rnacentral:rRNA from 1 species